rnacentral:rRNA from 1 species
AGCUCCAAUAGCGUAUACUCAAGUUGUUGCAGUUAAAAAGCUCGUAGUUGAAUGUCUGGGGUACACUUACAUAUACCACCCCUCACGGGGUGUGUUGUAAGGUCGUAUUUCCCAUCCUUGCGUGAGUUUCGGGCAACCGGGCUCGCGCAUCCUUCACUGUGAACAAAUUAGAGUGUUCAAAGCAGGCCAUGUGCUUGAAUACAUUAGCAUGGAAUGAUAAGAUAGGACUCCGGUACUAUUUUGUUGGUUGCGUAUGGGAGUAAUGAUUAAUAGGGACAGUUGGGGGUAUUCAUAUUCAACAGUCAGAGGUGAAAUUCUUGGAUUCGUUGAAGAUGAACUACUGCGAAAGCAUUUACCAAGGAUGUUUUCA